AAAUAUCUCGAGGAGAUUCCGGAAGCGCAAAGUCUGUGGCGCGGCGAGUGCUUCGUGUUCGACCAGCGCGUCGCGCUCGGUCACGGGCUGAGCGAGCGUCAGGUGUUACGCGGAGAUGGAGCGGAUCAUACCGAUGCCACUGAGAUCGACAUGAGCGAGCAAGCCGAUGACUGAAGUCCCCUCGCCCGCCUCGCGCAUCGACGCGCUGGAAAUCCGCAUCGCGUAUCUGGAUGAGACCAUCGAGACCCUGAACAACACCAUUACCGCGCAAUGGAAGCAGAUUGACGCCCUGAGCCGGGAGAUGCUGGC
rnacentral:misc_RNA from 1 species